rnacentral:rRNA from 1 species
CGUCAAGUAGAGAAGGGCGCACGGUGAAUGCCUAGGCACUGGAAGCCGAUGAAGGACGUGACAAACGACGAAAUGCUUCGGGGAGCGGUAAGUACGCAGAGAUCCGGAGAUAUCCGAAUGGGGGAACCCGGCACCGCGAGGUGUCACCUUGAAUGUGAAUAGAUAGCAUUAAGGAGGAAGACGCAGUGAACUGAAACAUCUAAGUAGCUGCAGGAAGGAGGGGCCCGG